rnacentral:lncRNA from 1 species
CCAGUGACUGACUUGGUAAACCUUUGCAGAAGACAGGCAAGGGACAGAAGAAUAAGGAGCUGUACUUUGGACCUGUGAAGUUAUUUUGACUAUCAGACAUCUAAAUAGAUGUUAACCAGAUGAAACUGGAGCUUGCAAGUUAGCAAUAUGUAUGUGAAAGGGGAAAGCAGGGCAAUGGUAUAUAAAGCCACAGCACUGGCUAAUAUCAUAUAGCAAGUGUAUAGAGAUGAGGUCUGCAGCAUGAGCCUGGGGUAGCAGCACUUAAAUGAGCAAAUGAAUAAAAGGGCAGGAGGAAGUACCAAGACAGUACGGUAUCCUAGAAGCAACACGUAGAAAAAGAAAUUCAAGAAGUAUGAAAUGGCCAGGCAGGGAGGCUCAUGCCUGUAAUCCCAGCACUUUGGGAGACUGAGGCAGGAGGAUUGCUUGAGCCCAGGAGUUCGAGACCAGCUUGGGCAACAAAAUUACGUUGUACUCUCCAGCAUGAUUUUCUGCAUUCUUCUUUGGAUGAUAAUUGUUUGAGGACUUUCUCAUGUGAAAAGGAGAUUUAGCAUAGCAGGCCUGAGGCUGCUGUCCUAAAAACAACGUUCAUGGAAGGAAGAUGGAAAACCUGGCUUUCGGGGAGGGUUCUUACCAUUCCCAGAACUGACGUCCUACCUGUUCCUGGAUGCCUGGGUCAACUGCCUCAUUAUCAGUGGAAAGCAGAGUGUGGGUGGGAAAGAAGAGCUCUGAAAUCACUCGGACCUGACCCUGACCCCUGCUGCACUCCUGCUCUGUGCCUGAGAUGGUUCUAUUUCCUGUUAUCCUCUCAACACGUCUGCAGAGAAUGGACUGUUAUUCCUAUCUUACACAGGUGGAACUUGGGGCUCAGAAAAUGA